UACGUAGGGGGCAAGCGUUGUCCGGAUUUAUUGGGCGUAAAGAGCGUGCAGGCGGCCAUACAGGUCCGUUGUGAAAACUGGAGGCUCAACCUCCAGACGUCGACGGAAACCGUAUGGCUAGAGUCCGGAAGAGGAGAGUGGAAUUCCUGGUGUAGCGGUGAAAUGCGCAGAUAUCAGGAAGAACACCCGUGGCGAAGGCGGCUCUCUGGGACGGUACUGACGCUGAGACGCGAAAGCGUGGGGAGCGAACAGG
rnacentral:rRNA from 1 species